rnacentral:rRNA from 1 species
CCUACGGGUGGCAGCAGUGAGGAAUAUUGGUCAAUGGGCGAGAGCCUGAACCAGCCAAGUCGCGUGAAGGAAGACUGCCCUAUGGAUUGUAAACCUCUUUUAUCGGGGAGUAAAAUACACUACGCGUGGCGUUCCGUAUGUACCCGAUGAAUAAGCAUCGGCUAACUCCGUGCCAGCAGCCGCGGUAAUACGGAGGAUGCGAGCGUUAUCCGGAUUUAUUGGGUUUAAAGGGUGCGUAGGCGGAAGAUAAAGUCAGUGGUAAAAUUUUGAGGCUCAACCGAUUAGUGCCGUUGAUACUGGGUUUCUUGAGUGCAUGAGAGGUAUGCGGAAUGCGUGGUGUAGCGGUGAAAUGCUUAGAUAUCACGAAGAACUCCGAUUGCGAAGGCAGCAUACUGGCGCUCAACUGACGCUGAUGCACGAAAGUGUGGGUAUCGAACAGGAUUAGAUACCCGAGUAGUC